UACAGAGGGGGCAAGCGUUGUUCGGAGUUACUGGGCGUAAAGCGUGCGUAGGCGGUGUCUUCAGUUUGUUGUGAAAUCUCCCGGCUUAACCGGGAGGGUGCGGCGAAUACUGAGAUGCUGGAGUGCCGGAGAGGUAAGCGGAAUUCCUGGUGUAGCGGUGAAAUGCGUAGAUAUCAGGAGGAACACCUGCGGUGUAGACGGCUUACUGGACGGUAACUGACGCUGAGGCACGAAAGCGUGGGUAGCAAACAGG
rnacentral:rRNA from 1 species